rnacentral:rRNA from 1 species
GGCUCAGGACGAACGCUGGCGGCGCGCCUAACACAUGCAAGUCGAACGGUGAAGAGGAGCUUGCUCCUCGGAUCAGUGGCGGACGGGUGAGUAACACGUGAGCAACCUGGCUCUAAGAGGGGGACAACAGUUGGAAACGACUGCUAAUACCGCAUAACGUAUCGGGAUGGCAUCUUCCUGAUACCAAAGAUUUUAUCGCUUAGAGAUGGGCUCGCGUCUGAUUAGAUAGUUGGCGGGGUAACGGCCCACCAAGUCGACGAUCAGUAGCCGGACUGAGAGGUUGAACGGCCACAUUGGGACUGAGACACGGCCCAGACUCCUACGGGAGGCAGCAGUAGG